AAUAGAACACAAGAUCAUGUUUACAGAUGUUUGAAUUUUAGCUUUAUUUUUUUUCAGGUUAUAAUCUCUUUUUUCAGUGUUGCAAAACCUUUUUUACAAGGUGUUGAGUUUUCAAACCCAGACUUACAAGCCUUUGAAACUUUUUUUUUCAGGUUUCAAUUAUGGCAGGAAACUGACUCCAUUCCUGACCCCUACCUGUUCCUAAUAACCUGUAUCUACCUGUUCCUAAUAACCUGUAUCUACCUGUUCCUAAUAACCUGUAUCUACCUGUUCCUAAUAACCUGUAUCUACCUGUUCCUAAUAACCUGUAUCUACCUGUUCCUAAUAACCUGUAUCUACCUGUUCCUAAUAACCUGUAUCUACCUGUUCCUAAUAACCUGUAUCUACCUGUUCCUAAUAACCUGUAUCUACCUGUUCCUAAUAACCUGUAUCUACCUGUUCCUAAUAACCUGUAUCUACCUGUUCCUAAUAACCUGUAUCUACCUGUUCCUAAUAACCUGUAUCUACCUGUUCCUAAUAACCUGUAUCUACCUGUUCCUAAUAACCUGUAUCUACCUGUUCCUAAUAACCUGUAUCUACCUGUUCCUAAUAACCUGUAUCUACCUGUUCCUAAUAACCUGUAUCUACCUGUUCCUAAUAACCUGUAUCUACCUGUUCCUAAUAACCUGUAUCUACCUGUUCCUAAUAACCUGUAUCUACCUGUUCCUAAUAACCUGUAUCUACCUGUUCCUAAUAACCUGUAUCUACCUGUUCCUAAUAACCUGUAUCUACCUGUUCCUAAUAACCUGUAUCUACCUGUUCCUAAUAACCUGUAUCUACCUGUUCCUAAUAACCUGUAUCUACCUGUUCCUAAUAACCUGUAUCUACCUGUUCCUAAUAACCUGUAUCUACCUGUUCCUAAUAACCUGUAUCUACCUGUUCCUAAUAACCUGUAUCUACCUGUUCCUAAUAACCUGUAUCUACCUGUUCCUAAUAACCUGUAUCUACCUGUUCCUAAUAACCUGUAUCUACCUGUUCCUAAUAACCUGUAUCUACCUGUUCCUAAUAACCUGUAUCUACCUGUUCCUAAUAACCUGUAUCUACCUGUUCCUAAUAACCUGUAUCUACCUGUUCCUAAUAACCUGUAUCUACCUGUUCCUAAUAACCUGUAUCUACCUGUUCCUAAUAACCUGUAUCUACCUGUUCCUAAUAACCUGUAUCUACCUGUUCCUAAUAACCUGUAUCUACCUGUUCCUAAUAACCUGUAUCUACCUGUUCCUAAUAACCUGUAUCUACCUGUUCCUAAUAACCUGUAUCUACCUGUUCCUAAUAACCUGUAUCUACCUGUUCCUAAUAACCUGUAUCUACCUGUUCCUAAUAACCUGUAUCUACCUGUUCCUAAUAACCUGUAUCUACCUGUUCCUAAUAACCUGUAUCUACCUGUUCCUAAUAACCUGUAUCUACCUGUUCCUAAUAACCUGUAUCUACCUGUUCCUAAUAACCUGUAUCUACCUGUUCCUAAUAACCUGUAUCUACCUGUUUCUGAAUUCACUGUACACCGCUUUGGAGAAAAUUAAAUUAAAGCAUUCACGAAACUUUUACAAUGUCUAA
rnacentral:lncRNA from 1 species